rnacentral:sRNA from 1 species
ACAAAAAAAUGAAAAAAAAA